rnacentral:rRNA from 1 species
AUUACCGCGGCUGCUGGCACGUAGUUAGCCGUGGCUUCCUCCUCAGGUACCGUCAUUAUCGUCCCUGAAGACAGAGCUUUACAACCCGAAGGCCGUCAUCACUCACGCGGCGUUGCUGCAUCAGGCUUUCGCCCAUUGUGCAAUAUUCCCCACUGCUGCCUCCCGUAGG